rnacentral:rRNA from 1 species
AGUGAACGCUGGCGGUAGGCCUAACACAUGCAAGUCGAACGGCAGCACAGUAAGAGCUUGCUCUUACGGGUGGCGAGUGACGGACGGGUGAGGAAUACAUCGGAAUCUACUUUUUCGUGGGGGAUAACGUAGGGAAACUUACGCUAAUACCGCAUACGACCUACGGGUGAAAGCAGGGGAUCUUCGGACCUUGCGCGAUUGAAUGAGCCGAUGUCGGAUUAGCUAGUUGGCGGGUAAAGGCCCACCAAGGCGACGAUCCGUAGCUGGUCUGAGAGGAUGAUCAGCCACACUGGAACUGAGACACGGUCCAGACUCCUACGGGAGGCAGCAGUGGGGAAUAUUGGACAAUGGGCGCAAGCCUGAUCCAGCCAUACCGCGUGGGUGAAGAAGGCCUUCGGGUUGUAAAGCCCUUUUGUUGGGAAAGAAAAGCAGCAGGUUAAUACCCCGCUGUUCUGACGGUACCCAAAGAAUAAGCACCGGCUAACUUCGUG